GGGCGGUUAGCUCAGCUGGGAGAGCACCUGCCUUACAAGCAGGGGGUCGGCAGUUCGAUCCUGUCACCGCCCACCA
rnacentral:tRNA from 4 species